ACUUAAUAAAGUUGUCCUUCUCAUUAACAUCGAUAUCUGGAAAGAAAGAAGAAGGUGAAGAGGUGCAGCAAAUAAACUUUCUGCAUUGGACAAAGUUGAUCGACCAAUCAGGUAUAACACAGUAGGAGGAUGAAUGGGGAUAACCAGACUAUUUUUACCAUGAAUGAAAUCUAGUGCAAAUAUAGUAUACUAGUCAAGAAUUACAUCCGUUUUAACAGCAACGGUGAGGAUCGUUUAAACAAUUUUUUAAUAUGACAUUGAAACUCGCAGUGUUGGAAUUGUUUCAUCUAACCACUAUGUAGUUUUUUUUUGUCAUAUCAGUUUGAAUACUUCUCGACUUAAUAUGUAGUUCAUACCGAUUUUCUAGAAAUGACCGGAAAAUUGAAAAUCUAUUAAUAUGUACACAAAACAAAGGAAAUUUAAACGUUAAAAUAGGUAAUUCUCCGAAUUGAUUAACCGGGAAGUAUUAUUACACUUCGGAGAAUCGAUCAAUGGAACAGGUUGGGUGUCAUUUUGUACAGGACAGUAGAUGAAAGAUGUUUAUAUGGACGCGGGAUUUCAAUUGGACAUUACCGAGGAUAAGAAGCGGAAUGCCCCUUGAAAUCCUGUAUUUGUAUGAGCGCUACAUCAGGUAAUAAAUUUUCAUGAAACACCGAAUUUAGAAGAUCAUUUGUACAACAUUCGCUUUACUUGACCUCCAGACAACGCAUCUACAUAAAGAUUGAUUAAGGAAACAACGUUGCUUUCUAGGAGUGAAAUGUCAAUUACAUUCUAAUUAUCUAGGAUCAAGGAUUCUCACUAUACAAAUCCUUGCUAGGAUGUAUCAUUCCUUUCUAAUUUCUUGAAUGUCUUUUUUUUUUUAGAUUAAAAUUAUGACAAAAAAUCGAAGGAAGUAAAAAAAAUUAUUAUUAUUUUA